CCAGGCUGCUGCUUAUCGGAAGGAAUAAGGCAUUUUGGAGAAGAAUGUAAGGGGUUUAAGCAAGAAGCAAGCAAAACCAGGAAGACAUGAUCUGUAAGAUUUCAGCUGAACAUUGGGGACAACUUGAAUUAUGGAUGACAAGCAGAAUACUCACCUGCUACAGCCAACCAGUCUACUGCUAGAAUGUGUUGCUAAUUUUGCUUGUGUCCAAGGCAGUCUUCACUCUUUCAGCACCAUCACAAAGGAAACUUGAAGACAAAAAUGGGAGCACUUUCCAUCAUGUAAACAAAUAUGAGUCAUUGUUGUGUUUCAUUGUGAGAAUUCAGUUUGUUGACUUUCCUGAAUGAGUUUCACACAAGUUUGAUAAGAUACAUCAAAUUUAUUUAGAAGAAAAAAAUAAGAGCUUGAUAUUGACACAAGAAAUUAUUUAUUUAGAAAAGAGUUCUCUUAAUAUCUGGAGCUGAUUACAUGUGAACUUGAUUUUUAAAGCAGAAUGUACAACAGCUCAGGAGUCUACAGAAGUUAGUCAUUGUCACCUCAGAUGUUAAGUCUUAGAAACUGCAAACAAAUUGGUGAUGAGGUGGAACCUUUUUCCAAUGCAAGUUCAACAAGCCACCUAUUUGUUCCACCUUCCUACAGCUAAAGUCUCUGACAAAAACUUUUUGUGAAAAAUUUUUUAUAUUAAUCAUAUAGGAAAAUUGCAACUGAAAUGAGAAUCAGUCAUAAUUACACACUUUUCAGCCUUCAAAAUGAUCAGAAAAUUCCCCUUCCCACGAUAAAUUUGAUGGCUGUACCAGCUUCUCUGCCAUUGUUCAAGAUGUCCCCUGUGAUGGGAUGUACUCUGUUUAUUUCCACUCUUUUCAUAAAUGUACCUGAAAUUUAUAAAAUUGAAGGAUUCCAGAAACUCAUGCGAAUACAUAUUUUCUUGAAAAGAAAGUAGGAUAGGCAACACAGAUAUUUCACACCCACCAUCUGCUGGUCUAGCCAGUAAGUUUGUCCAUGGAACAAAACACCGCUUAAUAGAAAAAAGAGAGCUUGUUCCCAAGGUGGCUUUAUUCCUCCCUCUGUGAGAAUACCUAUUAACCACGGACACUCAAACAGAAUUCCCUUUAAAACUUCUAGGUAGGACAAUUUUGUCAAAACCUUCUGAAUAUAAAAAUUUCCAUGGAAAAAGAUUGGACAUAGAUCGGAAUUGUGUGUUCUUGUGUUUAGUUGUUGUUGGUUGUUGUUUUUUUUCUUUCAUAAUUUGUUUCUUUAAUUUGUUUUUAAUCUGAAGACUGAUUUUAAAAGUUAUAGAAAGUGAAAGAGUGAUUCCCUCUACCUAUAUCAUUAACUCUUGCCAGAAACAAUCACAGAUGCAUUGAUAUAAGAGAAUAUGUAAUUUUGUCCUUUUGGAAUUAUGAGGAGAUAUGUACUCCAUAUUCUACAGUUUAUAAAUCUAUUUCUCAUGUGUUCAAAGCCAGUUUAUAUUAUUUUUCUGCUCAAAGUUCAUAUCCCACAGGACACGCUAGUUUUUUGAGACAGAGAUAAUAUAUAAAUAAAACCUCAUAACUUCACCUUGUCAUUUUCUUCUUUUCUUCUCUAGUUUUUUG